GCCAGACUCCUACGGGAGGCAGCAGUGGGGGAUAUUGCACAAUGGGGGAAACCCUGAUGCAGCAACGCCGCGUGAGUGAAGAAGUAUUUCGGUAUGUAAAGCUCUAUCAGCAGGGAAGAGAAUGACGGUACCUGACUAAGAAGCCCCGGCUAACUACGUGCCAGCAGCCGCGGUAAUACGUAGGGGGCGAGCGUUAUCCGGAUUUACUGGGUGUAAAGGGAGCGUAGACGGCUGGUCAAGUCUGAAGUGAAAGCCCGGGGCUUAACCCCGGAACGGCUUUGGAAACUGAGCAGCUAGAGUGCUGGAGAGGUAAGCGGAAUUCCUAGUGUAGCGGUGAAAUGCGUAGAUAUUAGGAGGAACACCAGUGGCGAAGGCGGCUUACUGGACAGUAACUGACGUUGAGGCUCGAAAGCGUGGGGAGCAAACAGGAUUAGAUACCCUGGUAGC
rnacentral:rRNA from 1 species